CGAGCGGUAAGGCCCUUCGGGGUACACGAGCGGCGAACGGGUGAGUUUCACGUGGGUGAUCUGCCUUGCACUUCGGGAUAAGCCUGGGAAACUGGGUCUAAUACCGGAUAUGACCACUGAAUGCAUGNCUUGUGGUGGAAAGAUUUAUCGGUGCGAGAUGGGCCCGCGGCCUAUCAGCUUGUUGGUGAGGUAACGGCUCACCAAGGCGACGACGGGUAGCCGACCUGAGAGGGUGACCGGCCACACUGGGACUGAGACACGGCCCAGACUCCUACGGGAGGCAGCAGUGGGGAAUAUUGCACAAUGGGCGAAAGCCUGAUGCAGCGACGCCGCGUGCGGGAUGACGGCCUUCGGGUUGUAAACCGCUUUUGACAGGGACGAAGCGCAAGUGACUGUACCUGUAGAAUAAGGACCGGCCAACUACGUGCCAGCAGCCGCGGUAAUACGUAGGGUCCGAGCGUUGUCCGGAAUUACUGGGCGUAAAGAGCUUGUAGGCGGUUCGUCGCGUCGUUUGUGAAAACUUGGGGCUCAACCUUAAGCUUGCANGCGAUACGGGCGGACUAGAGUACUUCANGGGAGACUGGAAUUCCUGGUGUAGCGGUGAAAUGCGCAGA
rnacentral:rRNA from 1 species